rnacentral:tRNA from 1 species
AUUGGCUUAAUUGGAUAGAGCAUCGGUCUUCGGAACCGAGGGUUACGGGUUCGAAUCCUGUAUGG